ensembl:miRNA gmo-mir-196a gmo-mir-196a
UAGGUAGUUUCAUGUUGUUGGGAUCUGUCUUCUUACUCUGCAACACGAAACUGUCUUA